rnacentral:rRNA from 1 species
CGUAUGGAAGGGCCAUCGCUCAAAGGAUAAAAGGUACGCCGGGGAUAACAGGCUGAUCACUCCCAAGAGCUCACAUCGACGGAGUGGUUUGGCACCUCGAUGUCGGCUCGUCAUAUCCUGGGGCUGGAGAAGGUCCCAAGGGUCCGGCUGUUCGCCGGUUAAAGCGGUACGCGAGCUGGGUUUAGAACGUCGUGAGACAGUUCGGUCUCUAUCUCAUGUGGGCGGAGGAGAUUUGAGGAGAGCUCCCUACAGUACGAGAGGACCUAGGGGGACGGACCUCCGGUGUCCCAGUUGUCCUGCCAAGGGCAUCGCUGGGUAGCCGUGUCCGGAGAGGAUAAGCGCUGAAUGCAUCUAAGUGCCAAGCCUCCUCCAAGAUAAGAUCUCCCGGGCGCAAGCCCCUGAAGGCCCCUGGCAGACUACCAGGUUGAUAGGCCGCAGGUAUAAGGCCCGCAAGGGCUUCAGCCAAGCGGUACUAAUCGGCCGUGCGGCUUGACCAC